rnacentral:rRNA from 1 species
UCUAUACAUGCAGUCGAGCGGAAGAUGGGAGCUUGCUCCCUGAUGUUAGCGGCGGACGGGUGAGUAACACGUGGGUAACCUGCCUGUAAGACUGGGAUAACUCCGGGAAACCGGGGCUAAUACCGGAUGCUUGUUUGAACCGCAUGGUUCAAACAUAAAAGGUGGCUUCGGCUACCACUUACAGAUGGACCCGCGGCGCAUUAGCUAGUUGGUGAGGUAAUGGCUCACCAAGGCAACGAUGCGUAGCCGACCUGAGAGGGUGAUCGGCCACACUGGGACUGAGACACGGCCCAGACUCCUACGGGAGGCAGCAGUAGGGAAUCUUCCGCAAUGGACGAAAGUCUGACGGACCAACGCCGCGUGAUUGAUGAAGGUUUUCGGAUCGUAAAGCUCUGUUGUUAGGGAAGAACAAGUACCGUUCGAAUAGGGCGGUACCUUGACGGUACCUAACCAGAAAGCCACGGCUAACUACGUGCCAGCAGCGGCGUAAAUACGUAGGUGGCAAGCCUUGUCCAUAAUUAUGGUCCGUGGGGGGUCGGCGGCUUUUUUAUUAAGUAUGAUGUAAAACCCCCGCGCCUCAACGGAGGGGGGUAGUUAAAAGGGGGAUUAACUUCAGUGCAAAGGAGGAGAGGAAUUGCCCCGCGGUAUUGGAGGAAAUGGGGAAGAGAUGUGGGAGAAAAGCAGUGAGUGUUAGCUGAUC